rnacentral:lncRNA from 1 species
AUGCGAGAUACAACGGUGCUCAAACCCUGCGCCACGAAUUACUUGUCGAUCAGUAUCAGGAGGAUGCGCGCUUCCCUAGGUCGUCGAACGAAACUCUGCACAGAUUCGUGGCCUGAGAGCUUCAAGAACAUGCAGCAGUCUGGGAAUCCGGUUGUCUACGAUCAGAGCUUGUGUAUAGACUUGUGCAUUUCCCAACAGAUCCUGCUGGAAUGCAACUGUUCUUACAACAGAAGUAUGGACUUCAGGGGGGUUCUAGAAGCCGCUGACGUCUGCGGCUUAAGUUCUGGAUGUCAUCGAGCCACGGUCGGAAACAGAAUAGUCUGCGACUGUCCCGAACGCUGCAAGGAUAUUUUUUUCAGCCACAGACUUCACCGGAGCGGCUGGAGACAUUCGUCGGACUGUUUGCAGAAAUCAGCGGAGUUCCAGAGAACGAAGGUCGUCAUCCACAUGCAAGCGAUAACCGUGUUGAACAUCAAGGAAGUCGCCAAGCUCGAUAAGGCAGAGUUAGCCAAUAUUUUCGGCGGAUUGUUCAAUAUGUUCAUCAAUCUCUCGACCAUUGCUCUCUUCGAGAAAGUCGAGUCAGCGCUCGUACUCUCCUCGCGUCUUCUACAGGAACCUCAAAUCAAAAUGAUGCAACAGUCGAUGAGCAACCGCAGUGCCUCUGGGGUGUCGGAAUUCCAGAGGUCCAUGCUCGACAAGUUGGAUUCCUUGUGUUCCCCCAGCCCGCUUCGGAGAAUAUCUCUGCACCUGGAAAACCAGCUCCAGGGAAUCAAGACGGCGCCAGAGCAGGCUCAAGGAGACUCGCCUCUGAGGAGCCAUCAGAACAUGGUCCUGAACUCCCUCAGUGCUUUCGAGUCAACCGGGACCAACCUCUCACGGUCCAGUGCAGAGGCAGAUUAUUCGAAGAUGAGCGUAUCACGAGCAGCUCGGUCAUCGACACGAAGCCGAGGAAUCCAAGCGACAUCGAGUGAGGGAAUCGAUGACUCGCAAGCUUCCAGUUCUCCUUACGCCACGAGGCGCCGAAGCCAGCGGAAUUCCGAAAGGCUCUUGGGCUUGAGCGCGUUCUCAUUGAAACGUAAGACGAAAGACCGCAACGUUCAGUGGCUCAUCUUGGUCUGUACGUCAAUAAAGCGUCUUGUGGAAUACGUUCCUUCAGUCAAGGAGAACAUCUCAUGUUGUACGUGUCUCCAGUUAGCGCUCGCCGCUACGAAAAUAGUCUCGAUCGAGGACUCCGAUUGGCUCUCAAAGUUUGCUGACGACAUCGCACAGCUGGCGCGAGCAGCCGGAAAAUGCUCGAUUCAUAAAGGGAGUGUGAGACAAGAGCUUCAGAGCAAACGACCCAGUCGGAGAGCUCAGAGUAAAACGGACGACGAGAGUAUGGAGAAACUCUUCGUGUGGUUGCAAAACUCGAGGAACUUCCUAAUGGAGCGACUCGCCCGGAGCAUUCAAUUGCUGUUGUAGGAGGACGAGAACGACGCGUCGGAGAAACGAAUAUCUAGCGGAGCACCCGCUUGUAAUCCCGUUAAAUAAAUGCACCGGUUGUGGGUGCGUGUAUAGAUCUGUAUUUUGCUCUAACAAGCGGCGCGUAAUCCGCACGAGGGAAAUGUUCCAGCAUUCUCAAUAUAAAUGAUGUCACCAUGAUAAGAUUGAGGGACGUAGGAGCGAAAUUAGGACUUCCGCCGUUCGCCCCGGGAUUCCCUCCCUAAUUUAUCGCCAGAGGUGAUUAUUAUCUAUUAUAAUAGAAAUCCUCAAUAAAAUUGCUGUCGCA